rnacentral:rRNA from 1 species
AGUGAACGCUGGCGGUAGGCCUAACACAUGCAAGUCGAACGGCAGCACAGUAAGAGCUUGCUCUUACGGGUGGCGAGUGGCGGACGGGUGAGGAAUACAUCGGAAUCUACUUUUUCGUGGGGGAUAACGUAGGGAAACUUACGCUAAUACCGCAAACGACCUACGGGUGAAAGCAGGGGAUCUUCGGACCUUGCGCGAUUGAAUGAGCCGAUGUCGGAUUAGCUAGUUGGCGGGGUAAAGGCCCACCAAGGCGACGAUCCGUAGCUGGUCUGAGAGGAUGAUCAGCCACACUGGAACUGAGACACGGUCCAGACUCCUACGGGAGGCAGCAGUGGGGAAUAUUGGACAAUGGGCGCAAGCCCGAUCCAGCCAUACCGCGUGGGUGAAGAAGGCCUUCGGGUUGUAAAGCCCUUUUGUUGGGAAAGAAAAGCAGCAGGUUAAUACCCCGCUGUUCUGACGGUACCCAAAGAAUAAGCACCGGCUAACUUCGUG